AAAUAUUGGCCAGAGACCGAUAGCGCACAAGUAGAGUGAUCGAAAGAUGAAAAGCACUUUGGAAAGAGAGUCAAACAGCACGUGAAAUUGUUGAAAGGGAAGCGCUUGCAGCCAGACUUGCUUACAGUUGCUCAUCCGGGUUUUUACCCGGUGCACUCUUCUGUAGGCAGGCCAGCAUCAGUUUGGGCGGUAGGAUAAAGGUCUCUGUCACGUACCUCCUUUCGGGGAGGCCUUAUAGGGGAGACGACAUACUACCAGCCUGGACUGAGGUCCGCGCAUCUGCUAGGAUGCUGGCGUAAUGGCUGUAAGCGGCCCGUCUUGAAAC
rnacentral:rRNA from 1 species